rnacentral:rRNA from 1 species
CCAAUAGCGUAUAUUAAAGUUGUUGCAGUUAAAAAGCUCGUAGUUGAAUUUCGGGGUCUAUCCGUUGGUCGGGCUUUUGGGUCCGUACUGGCGUUAUGGAUUCCUACCUUCUGAAUAACCGGCAUGCCAUUAAUUUGGUGCGCUGGGGAAGCAGGACUGUUACCUUGAAAAAAUUAGAGUGCUUAAAGCAGGCUAUCGCCUGAAUACAUUAGCAUGGAAUAAUGAAAUAGGACGGCAUGGUUCUAUUUUGUUGGUUUCUAGGAUCACCGUAAUGAUUAAUAGGGAUAGUUGGGGGCAUUAGUAUUCAAUCGUCAGAGGUGAAAUUCUUGGAUUUAUUGAAGACUAACUUCUGCGAAAGCAUUUGCCAAGGAUGUUUUCAUUAAUCAAGGACGAAAGUUAGGGGAUCGAAGACGAUCAGAUACCGUCGUAGUCUUAACCAUAAACUAUGCCGACUAGGGAUCGGAUGAUGUUAAUUUUUUAAUGACUCA